rnacentral:rRNA from 1 species
AGCGAACGCUGGCGGCAGGCCUAACACAUGCAAGUCGAACGGAUCCUUCGGGAUUAGUGGCGGACGGGUGAGUAACACGUGGGAACGUGCCCUUUGGUUCGGAACAACUCAGGGAAACUUGAGCUAAUACCGGAUGUGCCCUUCGGGGGAAAGAUUUAUCGCCAUUGGAGCGGCCCGCGUCUGAUUAGCUAGUUGGUGAGGUAAAGGCUCACCAAGGCGACGAUCAGUAGCUGGUCUGAGAGGAUGAUCAGCCACAUUGGGACUGAGACACGGCCCAAACUCCUACGGGAGGCAGCAGUGGGGAAUCUUGCGCAAUGGGCGAAAGCCUGACGCAGCCAUGCCGCGUGAAUGAUGAAGGUCUUAGGAUUGUAAAAUUCUUUCACCGGGGACGAUAAUGACGGUACCCGGAGAAGAAGCCCCGGCUAACUUCGUGCCAGCCGCCGCGGUAAAAC